AUUAAAUAUAAGCUAGAACAAAGCAGAGCAAAUACUUAAGAUCAACAAUUGGAAUAAGAUGCGUAUGGCAGGGAAAAUUCAUGGCAAAUACUCUAACAAGCGACGACAUCGCCUUCGUAGCUUGUUAAGAAGAUUUAGAAACAAAUUUCACAAGCUAACGCAAAAAUUUCAACGCACUUUGCAGAACUGCUUGAGGGAGCUAGCAAAGCUGAAGAAGAUCUUCGAUGAUUAUCAGAUAUUAUUUGGUUCGAAAUAUCAACAAGUUGAUGUACAGCCAUUCUAGUUGCUAUAUUUAAACAUACUUCGUUUCUUUUUUACGUUUUACACAAGAGCUUCUUAUACACUUCAAAGUUUUUGCACCGAGCCGUUAUCAAAAUUGCAAAAUAAACCGUUUUCGAGCAUCUCAAGCAAGAAACUAACUUAAAUAGAGAAGCAAAAACAAUGUUUGCCGCUGGCUCAGCAAAUAUGCUUGACACUGAGAUUAACGACUCAAGAACAAGGGGAGAACGCUAGGAAAGUCACGGCUGCUUAUCAACACUUGUGCAAACAAAUAUUUAUAUAUAAAAACAAGAACCAAACCGAAAACAAUGCAUAA